AUUGAACGCUGGCGGCAUGCCUUACACAUGCAAGUCGAACGGCAGCAUGGAGAGCUUGCUCUCUGAUGGCGAGUGGCGAACGGGUGAGUAAUGCAUCGGAACGUACCGUGUAAUGGGGGAUAACGUAGCGAAAGUUACGCUAAUACCGCAUACGACCUGAGGGUGGAAGCAGGGGUUGGAAAGACCUCUCGUUAUAAGAGCGGGCGAUGUCAGAUUAGCUAGUUGGUGAGGUAAAGGCUCACCAAGGCGACGAUCUGUAGCGGGUGUGAGAGGAUGAUCCGCCACACUGGGGCUGAGACACGGCCCAGACUCCUACGGGAGGCAGCAGUGGGGAAUUUUGGACAAUGGGGGCAACCCUGAUCCAGCCAUGCCGCGUGAGUGAAGAAGGCCUUCGGGUUGUAAAGCUCUUUCGGCCGGGAAGAAAUCGCACAGGCUAAUACUCUGUGUGGAUGACGGUACCGGCAUAAGAAGCACCGGCUAACUACGUGCCAGCCGCCGCAGUAA
rnacentral:rRNA from 1 species